rnacentral:lncRNA from 1 species
AGCUCGGCACGGUGGUGCUCCUCAGUAAAGGAUGACCGUGGGCUCACGGUGAACGAACCUGCAAAAAUAAGAACUUCGUAGAAUCGACUCGGUUUGGAUACGAACAAGAACGGCGGCUAGUGUCGGAAGGUGGGGGGUUCACAACUGAGGUGCAGGAGCGAGUCGUUGAGAUCGUCUAAAACUUUCGGCAAGGCUGGGUUCGUCAGUACAUGUGCGUAACAGCAAGGUAGCUUGCUGGUUCGCUACUGGGUUGAGUGUUCCUUCAAUGGACAGUUAACACCAAUGACACCAAGGCCUUGUAGGCAUGGACACGAGGCAAGUCACGGGCUGCUCUCCAGAUGGUGGACUUAUCCCUUCAAGGCCUCACCUCUAUUAAUCUCUUCAAGAAAUUUGGAUACGUGAGGAUCUUGAAUUCGUGAAGGUCUGUGAGCGGUCCUUCGAACCGGGAGCUUGCCGAUGUUACAGGUGUCGUGAUCUGUUGUAGCGAACAGCAAUCGGCAGGAGGAACAACAGUGAAUGGCAACCCAAGCCCGGAAUCAGCAGAGGACAGCUGCAGCAGCGAAGGGUCUCCGGUGUGGGGAUGCCAAGAAGGUCACCGGAAAUCGUCUGGGCAACUGCUGGCUGGUCGAGAAGCGCUUUAGGUCGCCAACUGGAAUUCGUCGACAAGCAUCUAGGUGAAGUGCUGCACGGCGGGGAAGGCUGAACUUGAUGGUUCAGGCGGCGCAAGGAAAGAGUGGCACCGUUUGUGGCAGAGGAGGCACGCCCUGGGGUGGAAAACAGCCCUCUCUCUCUAGUGCUGUCUUUUCGUGCAAAAGCUUUCAAGCAACUCUCGUCUUUUUCUCUCUCAGUUUUGUCUUUAAUUGUGACCAUGUUUUCCAUGUGUGGCCCCAUGUGUGGCCCCCUAUUUGAAUCGCGUGGCCUCCUCUUCAACGUGUGGCCCAUAUUGAAUCGCAUGGUUCACUCCUGCACGUGAAAACAGAAGCGUUUCCGAUUUCUCUUUCCCGUUUGUCUUCAUACCACAGAGAAAUAAUCUUGAUUUGCUAUUUUGUUCUCGAUCUUCCACGCUCCCGUGCUGCUACGAAUCUUCAUGAACGAUCUCCUUUUGACCAAGAAUAUCUCCGUUAAUAUAUAUCAAGUUCACUUUUACAUGUGAGAAAGCCUUUUUUUCUUUGGACACAUAUAUCUCUUCCUUCCCUUUUGCUUGGCCGAAUAUUACCUCACUUGCAAUCAGAUCUUUUCCUUUCGAAGUCAGUGCAAUAUUCUCUUGAUGAUGCAAUAUCCUCUUCAUAUCAUAUGAGCUCCAGCCAUCAUGUGAAAGGCAUAAGUGAUUCUCAUCCAUGGACUUAGUCGAAUUCAUGGGCUCAAUAAAAAUCAAGGCCAAUCAGUUAAGUCCAUCUACCAUUAGUCCAAUGUAAAUGCGAUUAAAAUACUCCUAAAAUUAUAUGUCAUGCAAUUUAAUUAUAAUAUUUUUGUUUAGAGAUUAAAAAUUAAUCCCUAAUUUUUAAUGUGAUAAAAAACUAAUCGCAGAUUGCCAAAAUUCAGAUGUUGACAAGUCAAUUAAAGUAUUCAAUUUGUGCAAAUACUGAUGACAAUGUCCUAAACCAUAAAAUAAGGGGAGUAUUAUUUUGUUCUUGAGCAUUCUAAAAGUCCAUUGACUAUGUAUCAGCAACGGAAAAACAAAUCGCCUCGAUUAACCAGCAAUUAAAUAUGCUAGCAGAUCCACCGCAGGGCUAAUGCAAUGCAACCUCGGCAACAAGGCUAGUUACCGGCGUUGGGAGUGAACGGCCAUUUUCACCUACACAACCGCGGCACGCAACGAGAAAUAUCGAGAAUUUAAUUCCGAAAUGAACCUACUCCUAAAGAAAAUAUUUUGAAAAGCAAUCAUACAUGCGUGAAUUAAAGUCAUUCAUCCCUACCAGGCUUGAACAUACACAAGAAAGCACAGCCUUAAGGCAAAGGACCAAAUCAAAAAGAUGGGUGCAUUUGGGAGAACUUUUGAAAAAAGUCUUUAAGAAAAUGUAAAAGCCCUUGAGUUAAAUGAGUUUUUCAAAAUGCAAAAUGUGUUUGGUAAAUUUAUUUGUGAAAGUCCAUUAUAAAGUAUCUUUGAGCAAAAUAAUGUUUUGGUAAAUUAAAUUUGCAAAAGACUUUUGUUAUUAAAAAAAAUUAAAGAAGGAGAGUUGGCCGGGCAAGGGCUUCGCUUUGCUGGUUACCGUCGGCCAAGGGCUUCACCGGUUAUCGCCGGCCAAGAGCUAAUAGUUGCCGACAAAGGGUAGGCGGUCCGGCGAAGGGGAGGUGGUGCGGUGAAGGGCAGCGUCCGACUAGGGUCACCGUGCGGAGGACACGGCGCAGCGAGGGUCACGGCGACUCGGAUCUCACGAAUCAUGGCGACCCUCACCAAAAGAUUGCGUGACUUGCCAUGCCGCGACCUCCAUGUAGAGGUCGCCAGUGUCGCUCGAUCUAAUCACAGCAACCCAGAUCGCGACCAACUUGCGAGAUCUAGGUUGCCAUGACCCUCGCCGCCCUGUUGCACGACCCACCACAUUGUAGAGGUCGCCAGCGACCUAGGCGAGGUCGUGGGUCACUUGGGUCGCAGCAACCUCCGGCGACCUCCGCGACCCAAGCGCGGCAAGGUCACACCACUUAGAUCUGGGUUGCGCAAUUGGUCGGUGACGAUUGCCGGGGUGCCGUGACCACGCCGGCUGACAUCUAAGAAUCUAACAAAGAAGAAGAUGAAUAGUGCACUGACCAUUCUAAGGGUGUGUUUGGAAUCAACUUUACAAGGGGCUUUGGGCUCCUAAUACUUGGGCUAAAGCUGGGGUGUUUGGGAACAGCUUUAGAAUUCCCAUUAGGCCAAAGCUGGCCUUAUCAAGGCUGAAAGCCCAAGGCAGGUGAAGGGGUGCCCUGGGUUUUCAGCUUUCUCGGCAUACAAGUGACAUUGUUCACUUUUUUUUUUUUCUUCCAAAACUAUCCUCGGCUACUCUCAAUUUUUCCGGUUUUGCCCUCGUCAUUGUACUGUUCAUCUUCUUCUCCGUUGAAGGCCGACGACGUGUUCCUCGAAGCAGUGAGCGGCCGCCGACAGCUCGGCAUGGUCGCGGUGGCCCAAGCGACCGUCGCCGGGGAGUGGUGCAACCGCCGCCCUAUCCGGGUCGCGGCCAUCGCCGUGGGUCACAGUGAGGUUUGGGUCGCCGACCUCGCCGCGACCCAAAUCCGAGGACGGCGAGGUCCUCCCGCGACCUCGCCGCCCCAGACCUUGGUUGCAGCGGUCGCCGGAGGUCGCGCGACCUUGCCGCGACCCAGAUCCGAGGGCGGCGAGGUCGUGCGACCCCGCCGCGACCCAGAUCCGAGGGCGGCAAGGUCGCGCGACCCCGCCGCGACCCCGCCGCGACCCAGAUCCGGGGGCCGCAAGGUCGCGGGGACCUUGCCGACCCAGAUCUAGGUCACGGCGAGGUCGCCCGACGUCCAGCGACCCUCGCCGAUGGUCUUUAGUGGUCGCCCGACGUCCGGCGACCCUCCCCGAUGGUCUUCAGUGGUCGCCCGACGUCCGGCGACCCUCCCCGGUGGUCUUCAGUGGUCGCCCGACGUCCGGCGACCCUCGCCAGAGGUCUUCAAUGGACGUCUAGCAGCCACCUGCCCUUGCCGGUCUUUUUUUUUUUUUUUCUUUUGAAAUUUUUUUUUAUCAUCAAAGCCCUUUGUAAAUGUGAUUCACCCAAACACCAUUUUACUCAAGUGUACUUCAAAUGGGCUUUCAAACUAUAAUUUACCAAACACACUUUGCAUUUUGGAAAAUACCUUUAACUCAAAGGACUUUGCAUUUUCCUAAAGACUUUCCCCCAAAGACUUCCCAAACGCAUCCUAAAAAUGCUGAAAGCCCAAGGCAACCUAGGACCUGUCUUGGGCUUUCAGCCUUUGGAAGGCCAGCAAUCAUUCCUUCAAGGUGAGUUUCAAAAAUGUUUCCAAACACCCAAUAUUUGCUCAAAUGGGCUUUGGAUGCCCAAAGAUACUUGGGAAACCUGGUCCCAAAUGCUGCCGAUGUCAAAGCCGGUAGGUUACAACAUUAGUGGCAGCGCAGGGAGCUUUUGAAACAGCUCCCGGAACAUUUACUCCAAUAAGGCCUCACAAUCAGAGACAGCUGCUACAGUUACUCAGCUCGUGAAUCACGGCGUCCAUGGAUGGCCUGUCAUAAGGAAACUCGUUGGUGCAGAGCGAGGCGAUUUUUACAAGUUUAGCCGCCUCGUACUCGAAGAACCUUCCAUGGAUAUUCCCAUCAAUGAAUUCUUGGAAUCUGCACGAUUCAACAGCCAGACGCAUGGAGUGAUCUAUUUUCUGCUUCCCCAACAAGAUCUGGAACACGAUCAUUCCAAACGCGUAGACAUCACUCUUCUCCGUGAACCGGCCCGUGGACGUGUACUCGGGCGCUAGGUAGCCCAUGGCAGCGCUAGCUUUAGAGCAACGAGAACACAACAUCAUUUGUCAGGAGCCUGUGGAGACCAGAUUGGUAGAGCAACGGAUUGAAUCGCUGGUCUAUGAGCACUUUGGCUGCUGAGAUGUUUUGGUGAAGGAGGGGGGCCUUGUUUGGUUUGUGAGCGUGCAAAUAGGCAAUACCUGUUUCGUAGGAUUAUUUGAAAAUCAACAAAAUCAGAGGUGCAACUUGCAAGUAGAAGACAAUCAAAAUCAGUUGAUCCCCAAUUCAAAGAAAGAUAAACAAUUAAAUUAGAUGCCACAAUAUGCUAUUUGAGCACCACCACCAUUGCCCAUAUUGGUACAUGACAGAGCAGUGACCUGGCAAAAUUUAAAAUGCAGCAAAUUCAACAAUGGCAGGUUACAUCAAAUGAUGGGGAUCCUGGCCCACCUAAAUCUGUUCCUCCACAAUGAAUUGGUAAUGCUAUUAUUAAUUUUGUGGCCUUCUAGAUGGUUACUGCUCACUAGCAGUCCAAAGCACUGUCAAUGAUGCAUCAGAAGAAAUUAGAACUAGAGGUAUUGCUUUGAAGGUUCUUACUUGCUUAUAUACAUACAGGUAUAUAUUGAUUUGCGAACUUGAUCUAUAAAACUGAAAUUUGAAAUAAUUUUAUGAUUGGUUGGAAGAGUGUGCUAAUGGUUUCAAGCCCUUGGCACUAUGACCUAAAACAAUUGAAAGGAGUUUUCAGUGUGUAUAAUAUUCUCUGGGCAUCUUACUUGGGCCAAACCAUCGGCUGAUAUAGAUGAAGACAUAUACCAAGGGGCAUCUUGGUANNNNNNNNNNNNNNNNNNNNNNNNNNNNNNNNNNNNNNNNNNNNNNNNNNNNNNNNNNNNNNNNNNNNNNNNNNNNNNNNNNNNNNNNNNNNNNNNNNNNGAAUGACAUUUCAUGAUUUUGAGGUACGAUCAACUCUGUCGUUCUAUUUUACUUGAUAGAUUUGUUAAGAGGACAAUAUGCAAAUAGAUUAAUAUAUCGAAGAUCCCAUUACUAUGCUGUCCCACAUCUCUAUUUCCAAAAUAAUGGACCAGUUUAUAUUGUAAUCGAAAGAUUUUUUUCUUUGGUGUUUGGUUGAUGGGAUAAGUGGCCAACUGUACAAAUAUGUCAAUUUCUCUAGUUAUCCUAGCAAAACUGUUUGCUGGUCCUGGCUUGCAUGUAUUUAGCUACUGGGGAAUUGUACAUUUUUCUCGUAUAGUGGUUACUCAUUACAAACACGGGAGAAAUAAAGUACAGUGUAAAGAGAUUACACUUCCGAUGACUAUACUUUUGUUAUGAUUAGCCCCUUUACUUUCAUUUGUCAUUAAUUCUAAUUAAAUUUCAUUAAAUUUUCUUGCAAAAUCCGGCAAAAUACUUUUAGUCAACACUUGCUAUCGAGACGCGGCAUCUAUAUGUAAAAGUCUUUGUGACAUUUAAAUUUAUUGCUAAUAACUUUAACUUGCUACCUUGUAUAGUAAAAUAAAGGCUCCUCCACCACAAUGGUGGUUGGUCUAGAGGAAUAGGGCUUACUACCAAUUAGUUGGAGACCUUUUGAUCAUAUGUUUGAAUUCUCAAAUCGUUCAUCGGCCUUAAGGUUCUUGUGGAGCAUCAGUUCGAUCAUGCCUCGAUAUUGGAAAGCCUUGAUUCUACUACUAUUAAAAUCAUGGUGAGACGGCAUGACGUGUUUGCUCAAAUAAGCAAUAAAUAUGGCUCAAAUCGAUAUUUUGUCACAGUAUGGAACUCUUGUAAAAUGCUAGGGGUCGCUGACGCUGAUGCUGACGUNNNNNNNNNNNNNNNNNNNNNNNNNNNNNNNNNNNNNNNNNNNNNNNNNNNNNNNNNNNNNNNNNNNNNNNNNNNNNNNNNNNNNNNNNNNNNNNNNNNNNNNNNNNNNNNNNNNNNNNNNNNNNNNNNNNNNNNNNNNNNNNNNNNNNNNNNNNNNNNNNNNNNNNNNNNNNNNNNNNNNNNNNNNNNNNNNNNNNNNNNNNNNNNNNNNNNNNNNNNNNNNNNNNNNNNNNNNNNNNNNNNNNNNNNNNNNNNNNNNNNNNNNNNNNNNNNNNNNNNNNNNNNNNNNNNNNNNNNNNNNNNNNNNNNNNNNNNNNNNNNNNNNNNNNNNNNNNNNNNNNNNNNNNNNNNNNNNNNNNNNNNNNNNNNNNNNNNNNNNNNNNNNNNNNNNNNNNNNNNNNNNNNNNNNNNNNNNNNNNNNNNNNNNNNNNNNNNNNNNNGUAGCCUAACUUAUGUUCGCAAGCGGUACACAGGGACCACAAGUCGGUAAUUAAUAUCUUCAUCAAGAAUGUUUUCAAACUCUCCAUGUAAAUUUGAUAAAGUGACUUAAAUUGUCUCCGAAGAAUAGCAUUUGAAACUAGUAUUACGACGAAAUAAAGUAUAGAGACGGAAAGUCAGUGGCGGGCUUGGGAUGAGUGAUGGCCCUACCCCCGAUCAAAAAAAAUUUCUAAUGUUAUUUGAUGAGAAUUUUUUUUUAAUAUAUCACUAUAUCUUAUUAGAACUUCUUAUCACCCCUAAUCUUGAAUUCUCGACUCGAACCACUUAAUUGGCAUCCCCACACAUUAUACCGACUUUUGAGUGUGAUGGGAAUUGCUAAAGAGAAAAACAUAUGACAUGAUACCACUAACAACCUGCGUCAUUUCCCUAUGUGUAAUUGAUUCCGAAAUGAUCACAUAAAAAAUAUCAAUUUAUCAUUUCAAAUAUUGUCUUUGUUCGAGCAAAAGUGUUGUCCAAUGCAUUUUUUUUUAACUUUCUUAGAUAGAAAGUAUACAUGAUAAUAACUUUCGAUCUCCACGAAAGAUAGCGAUCCGUCGACAUAGCACAUAUAACUGGUCAUUUCUACUCUCCAUCGUAGUCAUGAAAAUGGUGUUCCCUAUUCAAUGCCCAAAAUCUGUGGGGUUAAACCUCCACUUUCUCGUAGAUUGAUGUGAAUUAUAGCAGGGAACGCACUUGGGUUCUAUAUAUUUAUAUUAAUAAUUGAGUUUACGCAUUAACUAGAGUGAAGUUUUCACUUUCCAGCUUCGAAUCAACUGGAAAAGUUAAAGCCAAGAAACUAAAGUCGAAGACCGGGCCUUGCUUUAAUGGACAGCAUAUUCAUCCCCCUUUCCUAUAUUCAUUUCUUUUUUGUUUUGAAAUUACUUUUUCAACAAAAAGAAUCUUGAAACAACUUUUGUUCGCCAUUACAAAGAUGUGAUCGGAUAAGAUAAUAUAAGAAAUCCCAUCAUUUGUUUGAUGGAGCCAUCUAUCAUGUACUAAGAUGGAUAUAACCAAAAACAAAACAUGAAUAUCCACUUGGGACCAUGUUAAUGAUGUGGCAUAGUUCAAUUUUAAUACCCCAAUCAAGGGCAAUCAACGGAUCAGUUGUCGUCCUCUCGCACACAAUCUACUACGUCCAUAUCCUCUUUCUCUUACUUUAGGUUACCUCGCAAGUAUUCCUGACGAGAUCAGCCCACCUAAAAUGUCAAUUAAUAUGAAUUCAAAGUCCAUAAACUUCAAGCAAUCUCACUUCCCAACUAAAGUAAAAAAAAGACACCUAAAAAUCCAGAUAGAAAGCCCACAAUCCUCAACAUAGACAAAAUGCCACUGAUUAAUUGGGUUAUCGCUUUAUUUGCUCUACAAAAUCCUUCAUUCAAAGAUAAAGAUACCCGCUACUAAUGUGAUUAGGGAGGAGCCAAAAAAUCACAUUUUUUUUUUUCUAAAAGAGGAGAAAUUAUAUUUAACCACAUUAGUGAAAAAAUUCCAUUACCGAAGGAUUAGCCACUGCUAGAACCGCUCAGUGCCCUACCACCAAAGGAAGGACCCCAUCCGCAAAAACUGAGUCUAGGCUUCCACCUUCCAAGAAAGUGUAAAGGGAAGUUGUUCCACCAAGAACAACUGAUAAAAGCAAUCGUCAAAAACCCUAACACCCUCUUUGUUUGCUCCAUGCAAAGCCCUUGCCGCCACUAUGUCCACGGUACCGCCAUUAUUGACCUCAAUAAUGAUGGUCUCUCUCUAAGCUACAUCUUCUCAACAUCGACAGGCUAGUCAUUGAAAGUGAAAAAGCCGCUAAAUCUAGAAGCACGACCGUUUUGCCUCAACAUCAAGGGGCAAUCGCAUCAAGAGCUCAAUCACAUCGGAGGAGACGCCAAGCUUGCAAGAAAGGAAGCCAAUCGCGAACACAAUUAAAAGUAGGGGUGUGCAACGGGAACCGCCUGAACCGGGAACCGGCCGGACCAGACCAAACUGGCCGGUUUUGGGCGGUUCCCACGGUCGGUGGUCCGGUUCCCGGUUCCAAAUCUUGGAACCGGUGGCAGGUUGGUCUGGUCCCCGGUUCCAAGGUGGGAACCGGACCGACCGGACCGAACCAAAUUUUUUAAUAUAUAAUUUAUAUACAUAGAAUUAAUAAAAUAUAUAAACAUGAUAACUUAUUGCAACCAAAAUUGCAAUUUGAGGUAGGAACCUCUUAUGUGGCCAAGAGACCAUUAAAAACAUUUUUGUUAUUCUUUUAUUUAUAGAAAAAAUCUCCUUGUUAGUAACGUAGGCUGUGACUUGAGUUCUCUAUUUUCAAGGUUCCUCGAGUGGUACCAGCAAGUUAGUUAUCGAGAGAAAGAGGGAAAGUAAGAGACUCUUUCUUUUUUAAUUGAUUUAUUGGGGAUUUUAUGAUGAAUGGUUGAAUGAUCCUUGCUUUGUGUUUUGUUUUGUCUGCUUGAGGAAAUUAGAUGAUAUAUUCUUUAGCAAAUAAGAUUACAAUUUUUUGACUUCUAGUGAUUAAAAUGUCCCCACGUUAUUUGUUUAUAGGAUUACAAUUUAAGCCAAGUCCAACCUUUAGCCAAAUUGUUCAUGGCAUUUAUGGUUAAAGUUAAGUGUGAUUCACACUUUGUGUGUUUCACACAAGUGAAGUUUGAAUAUUUUGCACGUGGGAACAUGUGUGAUUAGUUUUGUUGAAUCGCCUAAGAACCGAAUUGGAUUGAUCGGUCCGGAGUGCGGUCACUCUUUAGUGCAGAAAAGUCGGUCACUCUUUAGUGCAAAAAAGUAGAGCCGAUUUUGUUGGACCGGAUUGGACCGGACUGGAACCGAUGGUCCGGUCCGGUUCCCGGUCCUAGGACCAAACGGUCCGGUCCACGGUUCGCAAUUUUGGGAAUCGGUGCUCCCGGUCCGGUUCCCAGUUCCAAGGUGGAACCGGACCGAACCGGGAACUGAUCACCCCUAAUUAAAAGGAGAAAUUUGCAAAUCGAAAUAUAUGAGUGAACACAUGGUAAGACUCAUGUUCAGUUAAGUAAAAGAAAAUGAUCCCUAUCCAAAUUGUUUGCGAGUUUUACUUAAUUGGCCCUUGCAGUAAAAUAUACAAAUGAAAUGCAAUCAGAAGUUAUCUGCUGCAUUUAGGAAUCCCAACAGAAAAUACAUAACUCCAAGAAGACAGAUGCUUUGCUAGGGAGAAAUGGUACUUUUUAAAACGACAUUCCACUUGCAAAUCUCACUCACUCGGCCCAGUCAAGUCAGAAUUCCAUCUCUCUCGCACUUGUGGAGCUGCAUCUUGAAAAUUCAUUUCUUCAGUAUACCCAGCCCACUCAAAAGUGACCCAGGUGUCGGGGUCGUCCCACUCAAAACCGGCCCACCAGUAUCGUCCCCCAAGACCGGAGAAGAUUCCCCUUGCAUUGGGAUAUUUCGAAGGUUGUCCCCUGAGGAAAGGAAUAAAGUGCGAUCGCAAUGCAUGUUAGUCGUGGAAGUCUUUGCAAGAGUAUAUAUUCGAGACGUGGGAAUACUCCCGAAGCAAUUAAUUCCUCCGCUGCUACAAAUUCAUGGCCAGUGAUUUUCUCCAUCGAAUUGUUGUCUAAAACAUACAACUAUCAUAGUUUCGGAGCAUGCACGAGCCACGACAAGUUUGAAAGCCUGUAGCUGGAGACCCUAACGGUGACAAGGCUGGAGAAGCAAGAGCAAUUGGGCACUUGUCCUAUUCCUUGAGUAAUCUCCAUCUUUUUAUCAAUCUUUUGCAAUUAAUAAUAAGGUUAAUACCUUGAAAAAUUUCAAAUUUAUAUAUUUGUAACAAAUUUACCAAAACUAAUUUUUUAACCAUCAAAAACCCUAAACACCUUUAACAAAUAUACUCAAAAUUAGUAAAUUUAUGAUAAAUUUACGCUCUGUUAGUUUUUAUUAAAUUUUACUGUCAAAUUGCUAAGUUGAAUUAAGUUGAAUGACACGUGAAAGUUACUAGUUGAUCAGUUUGCGAUUUUAUUUUUUGUUUGUCACAAUUGUACAAUUUUUGUGGUUUUUAUGGUAUUUAUCUAAUUUAAUGAAGGGUAUAUUUGUCACAAAUGUACCAGUUUUGAGUUUUUGGCAAUCGAACAAAUUAAUUUGGAAUAAAUUUAUCAUAAGAGUAUUAGUUUUGGGUUUUUUGCGAUUACUUGGGGUAAAUCUAUCACAUAUGUACCGGUUUAAGAUUUUUGUAGUCAAAAAAUUAGUUUGGAAUAAAUUUGUCACACGUAUACCAAUUUGGCGUUUUUCAAGGUAUUAACUCUUAAGGAUAUGGAAGUUCUUUGUUUUUUACUUUACUUUGACUCAUCAGAAAACGUUGCACUAAGUGUGUGAAGUUUGAUAGGACUGGUUCCAUGGACCCAACAGAUAGUUCCCAAUUUCAAUUUUUCGGUAUCGAUCUUUAAUGGAAAUCACCCACUUGAAUCAUGCUCAUCCCUACUUUGUAUCAAAAGGCUACGUUACUCACAUCUUUCUAAUCAUAUCCACUUACGAAUUAACACAUGACAAAUAUAUUACAAUCAUACAAAACAAUUUGAAAAUUUGACCUAAAAUUUAAAUGCCUCUCAAACUCUCUAUUCACCCAUCUUUUGCUCGUUUGAAUAGAUAAAUUUUGUCAUUUCUGAUGGACUCUAUAAAAAAAAGAAAAGAAAAGCAAGCUUUCCUUCCAUUUUCCCCAAAAAGCGACAUUAGUCCAAAAAUGAAACAUAUUGAGCUUAUCUCCUGGCGAGUUUAAUUCAGCAAAUAUUGAGUUGAGUAAAUUUUUUAUAAUUAUCUAUUGUUAUCAUUUUCUCGGAGAAAAUUGGUUGGAUUUUGAUCCUUUGUUUCCUCUUUAUAUGAAAGUUUGUUUACCUCUUCACGUAGCGGGACGAUUAAAAUCUGUUGUUUCCCAUGUUGACAAAUAAUUUAUAGCCCUUAUCUAAAUUGGUCUUUACAAUUACAUUUUGCUCAGAAGCCAAUAUCCCAUGCAUUCUAGCAUUCGAACUUCGCUACAGUGAACCAUUGGGGGUUCGCUCCAGUGGCCACCAUUCUAACUUGGAAGGGGAGGUUGGGGGUUCAAAUCUCCACAUUCUCAGGGGGGAUUGGGGGUGGAGACGAUUUCAUUUCAGGAGUGGGUUUCGACUCCCACGCCCUGCAAGGAGGCAAUGGCAAAAGUCUGAGAAUGAGUGUUAGAGUAGGAUUAGAGUAGGACUGACCAAAAAAAAACUUCGCUACAGUGUCUCUCUCUAGCCUUCUUCGCGACAAACGCUUUGAGAAGGGGGACGACGAAGGAGAGGAAGCCGCCGACGACGACGGACGACCACUCCUAUUGCCGCCGCUCCAUAGAAGCUUCGGCACCGCAAGAACCGGGACCUCAACUGCUUUCCCCCACUGAAUGCGGUCGCGCAGGUCGUAGAUUCCGCGAUUCGAGAGAGCUUCGAUGGGUUCGGAGGGAAUCUGCCGGAACGAGCUUCGGAUUGCAGUCCGCCAGCUCAGCGAUCGUUGCCUCUACUCCGCUUCCAAAUGGUAUUGCAUCUCGAAAACCCUAGCCCCGAUUUCAAGCACUCCCGUGCUGGGUAGGACGUAGGAGACGGUAGUGUUGAAAAAAAAAAAAACAGGUGCUUGGUGGGGUUAUACGGUGCUGCCUUUACUUCUGACAUUGGUGGGUGCUGUCCACUUUCUUGAUUCUUAAAUUUGUUUUGGGUAUUGGGGUUUCUGAAUUAGUCGAAUGAUCUGCCAAAACUAUAGCCCUUGUCCCUGUUGGGGAGAACCCGGGUACAACAAUUCACCACGGCCAAACUCAAUCCAGGAUCAAUUUCUCCCCCGAAGCUAAAUCAACUAAAAUUUUCUUAACCCCCAGCAACAACCAGCAAUAUAUAGCCUCACAAAAUGCAAAUAUAACGCCGAAAUGAUAAGUAGACAAAGCAAAUAACGACACCAAAGAUUUAACGUGGAAAACCCGAUGCGGGAAAAAACCACGGACCGCCCAAAAACAUCCACUAAUCACCAAGAAUAGCAGGAUACACAAAGUAUUCUUGUCUAGUCACACACUAGAGUCUCAACAUCAACAUUACAAUCAUUUUCUUCUCACCACAUAGGUAGACAAACAAGUUUGGAGCAAGAAAACCUUAACCGCAAUUGGAGAAUUUGGAGACGGUUCUCGACGAACAAAAACCAUCAACUCGUAGCCCUCGGUCUCACGAACAACAUACUGAAAUUUGAGCCGAUUCCGACAAUAUUUGGCCUUCGAAUCAAAGCCGCAAAGUUGCAGUGCUCUUCCUCUCUUCUCUUUCUCCUUUGCUGCAGUUUUCUUUUCUCGGUUUUUCUCUCUCCUCUCUUUGGACGCACACCCCACGUACGACAACUCCACUUCUUUUUAUUCUUUUUCUUUUCUUUUGUUCUUUAUUUAUUUAUUUAUUUAUUUAAUGUUGGCUGGGCCCCACAUGAAGGUGGACCCAGCCAAAAAAUCUCCCCCUCCACCUCAUGUGGGAAGAUUCGUCAUGCCCGCUUUUCUUCUACAAGCAUCAAGCUUCAUCACGGGCAAGGCUUUGGUCAUCAUGUCGGACUUAUUGUUGUCGGUAUGAACUUUCUCAAGUAGGAAGAGCUUCUCUUCUAGCUUUUCUCGGAUCCAAUGAUACUUCACAUCAACAUGCUUCGAUCUUGAAUGAAACACCGGAUUCUUGCUAAGAUGGAUGGCACUCAUGCUAUCGCAAUAUAGAACAAACUUCUCUUGCUUCAAGCCCAACUCUUAUAGGAAUUUUUGCAUCCACAAAAGUUCUUUACCUCCUUCGGUAAUAGCAAUAUACUCCGCUUCAGUUGUAGACAAAGCGGUACAUUUUUGCAAUCUCAAUUGCCAUGAAACAGCUCCCCCUGCAAAGAUUAUUAUAAAACCCGAUGUGGAUUUUCGGGAAUCAACAUCACCGGCAUAGUCCGCAUCCGAGAAGCCACUCAACUCAGGUUUUGCAUUUCCAUAGCACAAGCAAAGUGUAGAAGUGCCUCUAAGAUAUCUCAAAAUCCAUUUAACAGCGGUCCAAUGCUCCUUACCUGGAUUAGAGAGAAAUCUACUCACAACACCAACUGCAUGAGCAAUAUCCGGUCUUGUACAAACCAUGGCGUACAUCAAACUACUCACGGCCGAUGCAUAAGGAAUUUUCAUCAUCUCAACCUUCUCUUUCUCACUUGAAGGACACUCAUUACUACUCAACUUGAAAUGGCCUGCAAGUGGAGUACUCAUCGGUUUACAUGUGCUAAUGUUGAAUCUUUCAAGCACCUUCUCAAUAUACUUCUCUUGAGAUAACCACAAUUUCUUAUUCUUCCUAUCACGAGUAAUUCUCAUGCCUAAGAUUUGCUUAGCCCGGGCCUAGGUCUUUCAUUGCAAAAGCUUUACUCAACUCAUUUUCAAACUCUUGAUUUUCUUGGCAUCAUGCCCAACAAUCAACAUAUCAUCCACAUAAAGUAGGAGAAUAAGAAAAUCAUUAUCUGAAGAAUCUUUUCAUAAAAANNNNNNNNNNNNNNNNNNNNNNNNNNNNNNNNNNNNNNNNNNNNNNNNNNNNNNNNNNNNNNNNNNNNNNNNNNNNNNNNNNNNNNNNNNNNNNNNNNNNGUUAAGCGUAGUUAUAGUUUGAUAUUGAGCACAUGAUUGACCAAUGAGUUAGACCACUGGUAUUUAUUAUGAUAUUAUUGAUUGAAUGAGAAUAUAUUAAAUGUAUAAAGUUAUAUUAAACUGGUAUAACUAAUCUUUAAUGUAUAUUACAUGCUGAAUUUGGAUAAAUGUGUUGCUGGUAUUGUUUAAAUGUGCAUAACCGAUACUCAAUCUACUUAAAAGAGAUUUAUACUACUCAAUCGGCGAUGAUUUGCUCGGAUCCUUCAUCUCAAUUCUUUUUCAGGUUUUAACGACUAGUAGCAAAUAGAAAGAGAGUGGAAUCAGUGAGGAAAUUUGGGAGUUCGAGUUUGGUAUGACUUAAGAUAGCUGUAUACAUAUGAAAUGCUAGUUAUCGAGUUUAAUAUAGAAGUCACUAGAGAUGCACUUAUUCUUUUUUGUAGACUUUAGAACUAUGAUCAUGUAUCUAUAAUGUUGAUUUUGUAUAUGAUGCUCCAUGAUUUUCUCCAUACAUGAAGAUUUAGGGUGUGACCAAUAAGGGACAAUGUGAGUGACCAAAUUGCCCAGAUACUGAAAGGAGAGCUCUCAAGUCAAAUGAAACAUUAAUUUUGAGCAUUUUAUCACAAUAGUUAGUUUCAUGGUAUAUGGAGAUCGACCUUCAAGGUUGGCAUGGCAAGUGAUGUGUCAUGUCACAAGCGGACUUUGUAUAAGUGAAUCAUAUUCGAGCUGGACUUGACAAGAACUUUCGAGUAAAACUUAAAUUUGUUACAGCAAACUCCAAAGCCAACAUGAUUUGAUAAGUUUUGAUCCUUUUCUUUUCUUUUAACUGAAAGCAAUUUUUUAUUGCAAUGAAACAAUAUGGAAAGCAAUGAGACAGCACGAGGGGAGCGAUUGAAUAUGAUGCCACGGCAUGAUUUAAUGGUCCUAAAUGUGCUGCCAUUAGAGAGAACGCCACAUCAACUUAGAGACCUCUCAUGGAUAUGAGAUUUGAAGAGAUGAUGAAACUAGUGAUAAAUUUAGGGGAAAGAGAUUCAAAUGCUUUCACAGCCUGAAGGAGCAUGCCAUCAUAUUUUGGCCAUUUCUUGUUUCAGUCUCGAUCAAAUCAAAGUAGAUUCUGAUUAGUCUUUUCUAGGUGUGGUCCUAUCGCUACAUUCAAUGAAAAUACAGAGCCAUCGGAUUCCAUGUGAAGGCCGACACCUUCUUCAAAGAUUUUUGCUGCAUUUUGUACUCUACUUGGGCUCGCUCACUCUGAAAUGAGGAAGCACAGAUUCACCAUUCAGGCCAUUGCCACUGGAGAGGUAAAACCCAAAAUACUCCGUGAAAGUGGUCUCUCUGUACAUGGGUGGAUUGUCCUCAUCGAGAAGCUCCUUUAUUGGCCCAUACGGCUUUGACAUCUGCGUCUCUCCUGGUACGAGGAAGCAUGCGACUGACACCCGGGGCCCGGCCUUCCUGGCAAGGACCCGGUGCUCCACGCUCUUGAACUUGUCGUUGCUAACAAGCUGCAAUCAACAAGAUCAGGGAAAACGAAAGUCAUUCUUCAACUCGAAGAUAACUCGACGUUAAUCCACCCAGAAACGUAGGCAACAAGAUGUGAAUGAUCUUUGUACCUGCAUAAGGUCUCCAAUGUUGGCUAGGAUGGCUCCAGGCACCGGGGACACAUCGACCCACUGGUCCUGGUGCCGGACUUGGAGGCCGCCAUGGUGGUUUUGCAGGAGAAGAGUGAGAUAUGUGGCAUCUGAGUGAUUGAUUGUGCCCAGAGUCAGCUCUGGCUGAGGGCAAGUUGGGUAGUAAUGGCUUACUAUUCUCUUGGAGUCCAUGCAUUCAAUGUCACCAAGAUAGCCUGAAUCGAGCCCCAGUGCCUCUGAUAGUAGUUCAGACAGAGAUCUCUUCAAUUUUUCCACGUGUUUUUCGUACUCAAAAACCGGCUCUCUGCAAAGGAGGGAAAGUAAACAUCACGUGGUAAAGAAUACAUGAACCUAUGCAAAUAGAGAAGGGAAAGUUAUACAUGGAUGAAAGAGGUGUGAAGAAUCGAACUUGAUAUCUAUCUCUUGCCCUGAUAUCAUGUUGAAGUUAUGCAGAAAACUGUUUUCUUUCCCCUUUAAAGUAAAAAAGAAACACGGUAUAUAUUUCGAAAUGUCGAAGUCCUGGGUGAAGGAAUAGUGUAAAUCAUGAUGACUGAAUAGAAGAGGGACUGCCUCUCGGUCUGGCUCUCCAAACGGGAAAUCAAACAGGAGAGUGUCCUUCCAAGUUGCUGCUUUGGACCAAAACAAGUCUCCAUUGCUGUAGUACCUAAAUUUCCUAGCGUCGUCCCUGGAGUACCACUCUCCCUUCACUCCCUCAGGCUGCUCGUGGAACUGCUUGACAGCUUCCAACACGCCGUCCAUCACAUCGACCGGGAUCCCGUGGUUAAUUAUCUGGAAGAACCCCCACGUCUCCGACGCUCUACGGAGGUCGUCGACCACGUCUCGCCGCAGCCGGGAAUCCUGACAGCCCAUCAUGUCGAUGAUGGGGACCUUAAGGUCAGUGGCGGACCCCUCUGUGUCAGAGGACACGUCGCGCAGGUUCUGGGGAGGGUGGAUGAAGAGCCUAGGGACCUUGGCCACGCCGGAGUCGAUGAGGCCUUUGACGCCGGCUUUGGUCUCGUCGAAUUCCUUUGCUUCUUUCGCUCUGUCAUAGUGCGGGCCACUACAGGUGAUGGAUUCUCCAGGACUGGACAAGGUUUGCAUCUUUGUAAGGAGAAGCUUUGAAGCCUAUUAAGGAUUCUCCAGAACGAAAGUAGAUCUCUCCUUCUUUCCUUCUCUCUUUCCCUUUUAUCUCCUCCUUUUUCUUUUUUCUUUUUUCUUUCUUUUCUCUCUCUCUCUCUCUCUCUCUCUCUCUGCUGAAGCUUCCACCUUUUUCCUCUACAUUGACUUUUCAACCCCUUAUUUUACAUGCCAAGUCGCCGUCCGAUCACGUCAGAUCCAAAGGGAACCUCAUCACCCUAUAGCGAUCACACGUCUAGAUUAGAGUUAAAGUCAAUUGAAGUAUCCAAUUUGUGCAAAUACUGAUGACAAUGUCCUAGACCAUAAAAUAAGGGGAGUGUUAUUUUACUCUUGAACAUUCUAAACAUCCAUUGACUGUACAUCAGCAACGGAAAAACAAAUCGCCUCGAUUAACCAGCAAUUAAAGAUGCCAGCAGAUCCACCAAUGGAAAAACAAAUCGCCUCAAUUAACCAGCAAUUAAAGAUGCCAGGCAGGGCUAAUGCAAUGCGACCACGGCAACAAGGCUAGUUACCGGCGUUGGAAGUCCACGGCCAUUUUCACCCACACAACUGCGGCACGCAACGAGAAAUAUCGAAAAUCUAAUUCCGAAAUGAACCUACUUCUAAAGAAAAUAUUUUGAAAAGCAAUCAUACAUGCGUGAAUUAAAGUCAUUCAUCCCUACCAGGCUUGAACAUACACAAGAAAGCACGGCCCUAAGGCAAAGGCACCAAAUCAAAAAGAUGUCAAAGCCGGUAGGUUACAACAUUAGUGGCAGCGCAGGGAGCUUUUUCAGACCAACUUCUACCAUUGACUUUUGCAACAGCUCCUGGAACAUUUACUCCAAUAAGGCCUCACAAUCAGAGACAGCUGCUACAGUUACUCAGCUCGUCAAUCACGGCGUCCAUGGAUGGCCUGUCAUAAGGAGACUCGUUGGUGCAGAGCGAGGCGAUUUUUGCAAGUUUAGCUGCCUCGUACUCGAAGAACCUUCCAUGGAUAUUCGCAUCAAUGAAUUCUUGGAAUCUACAUGAUUCAGCAGCCAGACGCAUGGAGUGAUCUACUUUCUGCUUCCCCGACAAGAUCUGGAACACGAUCAUUCCAAACGCGUAGACAUCACUCUUCUCUGUGAACCGGCCCGUGGACAUGUACUCAGGCGCUAGGUAGCCCAUGGCAGCACUAGCUUUGAGCAACGAGAACACAACAUCAUUUGUCNNNNNNNNNNNNNNNNNNNNNNNNNNNNNNNNNNNNNNNNNNNNNNNNNNNNNNNNNNNNNNNNNNNNNNNNNNNNNNNNNNNNNNNNNNNNNNNNNNNNNNNNNNNNNNNNNNNNNNNNNNNNNNNNNNNNNNNNNNNNNNNNNNNNNNNNNNNNNNNNNNNNNNNNNNNNNNNNNNNNNNNNNNNNNNNNNNNNNNNNNNNNNNNNNNNNNNNNNNNNNNNNNNNNNNNNNNNNNNNNNNNNNNNNNNNNNNNNNNNNNNNNNNNNNNNNNNNNNNNNNNNNNNNNNNNNNNNNNNNNNNNNNNNNNNNNNNNNNNNNNNNNNNNNNNNNNNNNNNNNNNNNNNNNNNNNNNNNNNNNNNNNNNNNNNNNNNNNNNNNNNNNNNNNNNNNNNNNNNNNNNNNNNNNNNNNNNNNNNNNNNNNNNNNNNNNNNNNNNNNNNNNNNNNNNNNNNNNNNNNNNNNNNNNNNNNNNNNNNNNNNNNNNNNNNNNNNNNNNNNNNNNNNNNNNNNNNNNNNNNNNNNNNNNNNNNNNNNNNNNNNNNNNNNNNNNNNNNNNNNNNNNNNNNNNNNNNNNNNNNNNNNNNNNNNNNNNNNNNNNNNNNNNNNNNNNNNNNNNNNNNNNNNNNNNNNNNNNNNNNNNNNNNNNNNNNNNNNNNNNNNNNNNNNNNNNNNNNNNNNNNNNNNNNNNNNNNNNNNNNNNNNNNNNNNNNNNNNNNNNNNNNNCAACUUGUACACCCACUUAUUUGUGAGUGUUCUCUUACCCUGAGGCAACCUCACCAAUUCAAAUGUGUGGUUCUCAUGCAAGGAUUUAAGCUCCUCUUGCAUGGCUUCAUGCCACUCAUUUUUUCUUUCACAUGAUAUAGCCUCUUCAUAAGUUUCUGGCUCCCCUGCAUCAGUGAGUAACACAUACUCAUGUGGCAAAUAUUUUUGAGAAGGCCUACGCUCUCUUUCAGAUCUUUUAACUUGAGGUAUGAUAGAUUGCUCUUCCUCAGUUAUUUCACCUGUAUCAGCUGAAGAAUCAACAUUAUGUGAGGACUCACCAUCUUCAUGACUUCCUUGCACUUCUCCUCCAUGAUUUCUAUCAACAUUAGAAGGAUUUGGGCUGAAACUAACUGAACGUUGAGCUGUAUUCUUUGGUCUCUCCACCUUGUCAAUGUCUUCAAUAGUUUGAUACUCACAAAACACCACAUCUCGGCUUCUAAUGACCUUCUUUGCAACUGGAUCCCAUAACCUGUAGUCAAACUCUUCAUGUCCAUAACCUAAGAAAAUACACUGUUUAGACUUGUCAUCAAGCUUGGAUCUUUCAUAUCUUGGAACAUGCACAAAUGCCCGACAACCGAACACUUUUAGAUGGUUGUAGGAAACAUCUUUGCCACUCCAAACUCUUUGCGGAACAUCCCCCUUAAGAGGAACCGAUGGAGAAAGAUUUAUCAAGUCUACUGCUGUUCUCAUCGCUUCACCCCAAAAUGACUUAGGCAACUUCGCAUGAGAAAGCAUACACCGAAUCCGAUCAUUAAUUGUCCGGUUCAUUCUCUCUGCCACUCCAUUAUGCUGUGGUGUUUUUGGAACAGUCUUCUCAAGCUUGAUACCAUAAUCCCUACAAUAGUGUUCAAAUGGGCCUCUAUAUUCACCACCGUUGUCAGUCCGAACACAUUUCAGCUUCUUCCCGGUUUCUCUUUCCACAUUGACAUGAAAUUGCUUGAAAGCCUCAAGUACCUGAUCUUUAGAUUUCAAAGCAAUAGCCCACACUUUUCUAGAACAGUCGUCAAUAAAUGUUACAAAGUAUAAUGCACCUCCAAGAGUUCUAGCAUCCAUGCAACAAACAUCAGUGUGAACUAAAUCAAGUACAUUUAAUUUCCUGUGUGGAGAGGAACUCUGAAAUGAGAAUCUAUGUUGCUUACCAGUCAGACAAUGAGUUCAUUCCUUUAGAUUUUUCUCUUUCAAAGGUAAAAGGUUCUUUCUAGCAAGAGUAUCAAGUCCUUUCUUGCUAAGAUGACCCAACCUCAUAUGCCAUAAAUCAACCAAGGAAUCCUCCACUGCAUUUACCUCUUCUUUAAUCAAGUCAGCUUGCAUGGUGUAGAGAGAGCCUGUCUUCUUACCCUUUGCCACUACCAUGGAACCUUUAGUCAACUUCCAUUUGCCAUCAAAGAAUGAAUUACAAUAACCAUCAUCAUCCAAGGCACCCGUAGAGAUCAAGUGAAGUCUAAUAUCCAGAACAUGUCUCACAUUUUUCAAAAGCAAAUUACAUCCGACAUCGGUUUUCAAAUAAACAUCUCCCAUGCCAAUAACCUUGGAAACAUCACUAUUUCCCAUCCUUAUGCAACCAAAGUCGCCGCUGCGAUAAGAAGCAAAGUAAUCACGCCGUGAGGUGACAUGAAAAGAAGCCGCAGAAUCAACAACCCACAUAGAGUCUUGGCAUGUAAAAUUCACAUAUCCGUCAUCACAUACAAACACAAUAUCGCCAUCGGAUGCAACCGCCGUUGUAGCUUGUUUCUCUUCUUUCUUUUGAUCUCCAUUUCUAUCAUGGAAUCUAUCUCUCUUUGGCAACCAACACUCUUUUGCAUAAUGUCCCAUUUUGCCGCAAUUAUAACACUUGACACUCCUCCUCGGUCUUGAUUUCGACCUUCCUCUUGACUUGCCUCGGGUAUCAUUUCUUUGAAACCUUCUUGAUUGACUUCUCCCCCUGUUUUCUAUAACAAGAGCAUCCGAUGUAGAGGCAUAAUUCAAGCCUUUUCUUCUUGUUUCUUCAUUGAACAAGCUUUCUUUAACCAUGCUCAUAGAAAGCACACCAAAAGGAGCCGAGUUAUUUAAUGCCACAACCAAGGUGUCCCAACUAUCAGGAAGAGUACCAAGUAAUAAGCAUGACUGCAAUUCAUCACCAAGAUCAAUCUCAAGAUUUGUCAAUUGAUUGACAACAUCUUGAAAUUCACUCAAGUGUUCCGCCAUGUUACUCCCCUCCUUGUAUCUCAAAUUCACAAGUCACUUAACUAGAAGAGCUUUAUUUUGUGGAGUUUUUCUCUCAUAAAGAUCUUGUAAUUUCUUCCACAAAGUGUCCGCCCUCGUUUCUUGAGCAACAUGAUGAAAAACACUAUCAUCAAUCCAUUGUCGGAUAAACCCAACUGUUUUCCGAUUCAUUCUCUCCCAUUCUUUGUCUUCCUUAUCUCCUUUGGCUUCAUCACCCUCAAUAGGAUCAAAUAAGUCUUUGCAAUAUAACACAUCUUCCAUCCGAGGCUUCCAAAUAGAAUAAUUCGAGGCAUUUAACUUAAACAUGGUGCUGCUGGUUUCUUCCAUUUAACACUAAAAUUCAACCGUGCUCUGAUACCACUUGAUGGGGAGAACCCGGGUACAACAAUUCACCACGGCCAAAUGCAAUCCAGGAUCAAUUUCUCCCCCGAAGCUAAAUCAACUAAAAUUUUCUUAACCCCCAGCAACAACCAGCAAUAUAUAGCAUCACAAAAUGCAAAUAUAACGCCGAAAUGAUAAGUAGACAAAGCAAAUAACGACACCAAAGAUUUAACGUGGAAAACCCGAUGCAGGAAAAACCACGGACCGCCCAAAAACAUCCACUAAUCACCAAGAAUAGCAGGAUACACAAAGUAUUCUUCUCUAGUCACACACUAGAGUCUCAACAUCAACGUUACAAUCAUCUUCUUCUCACCACAUAGGUAGAUAAACAAGUUUGGAGCAAGAAAACCUUAACCGCGACUGGAGAAUUUAGAGACGGUUCUCGACGAACAAAAACCAUCAACUCGUAGCCCUCGGUCUCACGAACAACAUACUGAAAUUUGAGCCGAUUCCGACAAUAUUUGGCCUUCGAAUCAAAGCCGCAAAGUUGCAGCACUCUUCCUCUCUUCUCUUUCUCCUUUGCUGCAGUUUUCUUUUCUGGUUUUUCCCUCUCCUCUCUUUGGACGCACACCCCACGUACGACAACUCCAUUUCUUUUUAUUCUUUUUCUUUUGUUUUGUUUUUUUUUUAUUUAAUGCUGGCUGGGCCCCACAUGAAGGUGGACCCAACCAACAAGCUGCAAUCAACAAGAUCAGGGAAAACGAAAGUCAUUCUUCAACUCGAAGAUAACUCGACGUUAAUCCACCCAGAAAUGUAGGCAACAAGAUGUGAAUGAUCUUUGUACCUGCAUGAGGUCUCCAAUGUUGGCUAGGAUGGCUCCAGGCACCAGGGACACAUCGACCCACUGGUCCUGCUGCCGGACUUGGAGGCCGCCAUGGUGGUUUUGCAGGAGAAGAGUGAGAUAUGUGGCAUCCGAGUGAUUGAUUGUGCCCAGAGUCAGCUCUGGCUGAGGGCAAGUUGGGUAGUAAUGGCUUACUAUUCUCUUGGAGUCCAUGCAUUCAAUGUCACCAAGAUAGCCUGAAUCGAGCCCCAGUGCCUCUGAUAGUAGUUCAGACAGAGAUCUCUUCAAUUUUUCCACGUGUUUUUCGUACUCAAAAACCGACUCUCUGCAAAGGAGGGAAAGUAAACAUCACGUGGUAAAGAAUACAUGAACCUAUGCAAAUAGUGUUAGAGGAAUUAAAUAGAUAUUAAAAGAACAGUUGAAUACAGAAAUUGGUGAUAGUAGAAGAGCUAAACCUAAUGAAGUAACUGAGGCGGAGGAGGCUGGAACAGAGGAAGCUGGAGCAAAGGAAGGUCGUGAGCUGGCGAUCCAUGACAGCAAAACAUAAAACAUAGAAGUUGAUCAAGCAAAUUAAAGGAGUUGCACAGAUAGAAGAACUACUCAUAUGCUUCUAUAUUGGUUAUUCUGUUGUAACAAGUCUGUAACAGAAAUAGCUAAACUAGUAUAAAAGGAUAAGAGAAUGAGAGAAGGGUGUGCGAGAGUGUUACCUUCAUCUUUUCCAUCUCUGGUUGUUCUUGAUUCAUCUUGAGCUUUUUCUUUCACCUCUGUAUUCCGAGAAUGGUGAAGUCUUGUAAAGCAUGAACAAGAAGUUCUGAAGAAGAAAUACAUUUGAGCUGAGGUAUUUUUCAUUGAUUGUUCAAGAUCUAAAUCUCUUUCAUAUAUAGAUCUUGUUCUAUAUUCGAUUUCUUCUCAUGGUAUCAUAGCGCAUCGCCUGGGAAUAAUAGAUCUGACAUGUUCUUACUGCAAGAUAGUAUAAAGAUUCUGGUGAUUCUUAGGUAGUUUACCUUCAAAGUUUACUGGAUUGUUUCUUCGAGUCUUCAAAGUUUCUGGGCAUAUAAGAAUGGCAACUAGAGUGCAGAAGUAUCCUUUCCCUAUCCAUGUGAACAUAGCUAACUUCGUUACAAUCAAGUUGAAUGAAGAGAACUUUCUGUUAUGGCAAGCUCAAUUCAACAGAUUUCUGAAAAGCCAAGAUCUGAUUGGCUUCAUUAAUGGUGAAACAUUACCUCCAACUCAAAUGAUACAGACUGUGACAGGAGAAAUAAUGAAUCCUGAUCAUCUGGAUUGGAUAAAAACUGAUCAGCUCAUAUCAUCCUGGAUAAGUGGUGCAGUAUCAGAGAAUAUUCUAAGUUUGAUAAUUGGUUUAGAAACCUCACUCGAAGUAUGGCAGGUCCUCUUGAAUAGGUUUACACAGAAAUCUAUUGCAAAUGAGUUUGAGUUAAGAGGAAAACUUCAAGCUUGCAAGAAAAGAAACAGAUCACUAAGUGAAUACCUUCGUGAGUUCAAAACCAUCUGUGAUCAGUUAAAUGCAAUUGGAAAGCCUGUUGAUGAUAUAACAAGAAUGUUUGGCAUACUUGAAGGGCUAGGUUCUGAAUAUGAAACUUUCAGGACAACCAUGUAUUGUCUUAAGCCACAGCCAGAAUAUGAUGAGGUUAUUUCACAACUUGAAAGGUUUGAAAUCCGAUUACAAACAUAUUCUGUGAAUGAGUAUAACUUGGCCUAUUAUGGGCAAAGAAGAACUGGAACAAGUCAGCAGAGAGUCAAUUCCAGAAAUCAAAGAGAAAAUUUUCGAGGAGAAGCUAACUAUGGCAGAGGUCAGUCUUUCAUUCGAAGGGAUUAUGGAAAUAAUUUCACAGAAGCAGGAAGGAAUCAACAAAUUAAAAUGAAUAACCUGAAUUCAACUCAGCAAGGUCAGGUUAACAAGGAUAAUUGGUCUAACUUUGGACAAGGAUUUAGACCAUAUUCCAAUCCUGCACAGAGAUAUCAAAGUGUUAGGUCUUAUCCACCACAGAGUUCAAAUGGUGAUAGACAAACACAGAUUACAAAGCCUAUGAGUAAUGGACCUCUGUAAUGUCAUAUUUGUAAGAAAUCAGGUCAUACAGCACUCAGAUGUUGGUAUAGGUUUGAUAACUCGUACCAGGCAGAUGAAAUACCAACUGCAUUGGCAGCAGUUCACAUUAAAGAACCCUAUGGUUCAGAAUGGUAUCCAGAUACAGGGGCUACAGCACACAUUACCUCAGAACCUGGUAUGAUUCGAAACUGCAAUACAUAUAAUGGUAAUGACACUGUCAUGAUAGGAGAUGGAACUCAUUUGUCAAUCUCAUGCAUUGGUAAUGGAGUAUUGAAUAUAGAAAAUAGCAAAUUACCUCUGAAUGAUGUGUUAAUAGUUCCUGAAAUAAAAAAGAACCUUCUAUCUGUAUCAAAACUAACAGAUGAUUAUCCCUGUUCUUUUAUUUUUGAUAAACAUGGGGUAUAUAUGAAGGACAAUCACAAUCAUACGACAGUGAAGCUAGGAAGGAAAGUCAAGGGGCUAUACCAGGUGGAACCUAAAGUUGUAGAGGUUUUCUUCACACAGACUCACCCGGAAGUUGGAGAGGAUGUCUAGCAUCAAAGACUUGCUCACACCAGUCUUAAAACAGUGAAGAUUCUACAGAAACAACAACUCAUUCAGUUUAGUUCUAAAGCUCAGAAUAUAUGUAGCAGCUGUCAAGUUGCUAAAAGCUCAGCUUUAUCUUUUCAUUUCUCAGAUCAUAUCUCGAAUGUUCCAUUAGAAAGAAUACACUGUGAUGUAUGGGGACCUUCACCAAUUCAAUCUGUUCAGAAAUUCUCCUACUAUGUCAUUUUUUUGGAUGACUUUUCUCGGUAUAGUUGGAUAUAUCCAAUGAGACAAAAGUCUGAAGUCUAUGAGAUAUUCAUUAUGUUUCAAAGACUUAUAGAAAAUCAGCUUAACCACAAGAUCAAAAUCUUCCAGAGUGAUGGAGGAGGUGAGUUCACUAGUAGUAAAUUCCAAACUCAUCUACAAAACUGUGGAAUUAAGCAGCAUAUUUCUUGCCCUCACACACCAGAGCAGAAUGGUGUCUCUGAAAGAAAACAUCAACAUGUGAUUGAAUUGGGUUUAGCAAUGAUGUAUCAUGCUAAAAUACCACUGAAAUACUUGGUAGAUGCAUUCAAAACAGCAGUUUAUGUUAUCAAUCUUCUUCCCACAACAAAACUACAUAUGCAUUCACCACAUUAUAAGCUCUACAAAAAGACACCAGACUAUUCUUAUCUUCGAGUUUUUGGAUCAGCUUGUUAUCCAUGUCUCAGGCACUACACAAAGCAUAAAUUUGAUCCAAGAUCACUUACAUGUAUCUUUCUUGGAUAUAGUGAGAAGCAUAAAGGGUACCAAUGUCUCUUACCUACAAAUGGAAGAGUCUACAUCAGCAGACAUGUCAUAUUUGAUGAGAAAGUCUUUCCCUUUUCUCAUAUCCUACAUACUGAAUAUUAGCAGGGGUCUGACUUAUACAAACAGUGGAUAAAAGGAGUGCUAUCUUCUAUUUCCAGCUCUACUAAGCAGGAUCAAUCACAAGACAAUAUAUCGGAGAGACAUCUGCAGCAUACCAGAUUCACUCAAACAACUCCAGUAAUGCAGGACAAUGAGCUCAGUACAUGUAAUCCUGCAGGACAAUCACAAAUACAGAUGGUACCUAAUACUGAGAUGCAAAGUGAUCUUAAUAAUGCCUCUGGUGGUAUUGAAUUGCAUCAGUCAUCUCCAAUCAUAGAGGAACUAAUAUCUACAAAUCAAGAGAAUGUCUCAACAUCAAAUACUAAUCCAGAACAAAUACAAAUCAGUUCUGAAACUGAACAGAUACAAGGUACUUCUUCAACUCAUCCUAUGCAAACUAGACUUUGAUCUGGAAUUGUUAAAACAAAUCCUAAAUAUGCAUGUCUAGUUGAGUAUCAGGUUCCUAUCGAACCAAAAACAGUAAAGGCUGCCUUAGCAGACCGAGGGUGGUAUCAAGCAAUGAAAGAAGAAAUGGAUGCCUUAUAUCAGAAUCAAACCUGGGAAUUAGUUCCUAGAAAUGAUCACAUGCAUAUUAUCGGGUGCAAAUGGGUGUUCAAGGAAAAACUCGCACCUGAUGGGAGCUUGGAUAGGCUCAAAGCAAGGCUUGUAGCUAAAGGCUUCCAUCAAGAAGAAGGUCUUGAUUUCAUAGAAACCUUCAGUCCUGUAGUGAAGCAUGCAACAAUUCGAAUAAUCCUAUCAAUUGCUAUGAUGAAACAAUGAAACAUUCAUCAAUUAGAUGUCAAAAAUGCCUUCUUACAUGGAACCUUAAGUGAAACAGUGUAUAUGGAGCAGCCUCCAGGAUUUAAAGAAUCACAAAAGCCCCACCAUGUCUGUCUCCUUCGAAGAUCUCUUUAUGGACUUCGACAAGCUCCUCGAGCCUGGUUUGACAGAUUUAGCAGCUUCCUUCUCGAAAAUGGAUUUUUCUGCAGCUCUACUGAUCCUUCCCUAUUCAUUCUGCAUACUGAAACAGCAACUACUCUCUUAUUAUUGUAUGUAGAUGACAUCAUUCUCACUGGAAGCUCCCCUCAAAUGAUUUCUGCACUUAUUACUUCUCUGAGCAUUCAUUUUCAUAUGAAGGAUCUAAGGUCUUUACACUAUUUCCUUGGCAUUGAAGCUACACGAACCUCGGAUUACCUAUUCCUAUGUCAAACCAAAUAUGCUCUAGACCUCCUCACCCGAGCUCAUAUGCUUGACUCCAAACCAGUUUCAACUCCUCUUUCGUUAAAACCACCUGUUUUAAUCAAUGAUACUAUACCUUUGACCAAUCCCACUGAGUACCGGAGUCUAGUUGGAGGUCUGCAAUACCUCACAUUAACCAGACCAGACAUUGCUUAUGCCACCAAUAUACUCUGCCAAAGAAUGCAGCAACUCACAAUUGCAGACUUCAACCACUUAAAAAGAGUCUUGCGAUAUAUAAAGGGUACUCUCAAGCUUGGUUUAUUCCUUCACUCCCACAGUACCAUGCAUCUUUAUGGUUUCUCCGAUGCAGAUUGGGCAGGGUGUGCAGAAACCAGAAGAUCAACAACUGGUUUUUGUAUAUAUCUUGGAUCCAACCUUAUAUCCUGGGCAGCAAAGAAACAGCCUUCAGUGAGCAGAUCCUCCACUGAAGCUGAAUACCGUGCUCUUGCAUCAGCCACUGCCGAUCUUACUUGGGUCAGUUUUGUAUUACGUGAUAUAGGUUGUUCUCUUACUCCUCCUAUUCAUUUGUACUGUGAUAAUAAGUCAGCAAUCUCUCUCACUUUGAAUCCUGUUUUACACGCUCGAACUAAACAUAUUGAAGUAGAUUUUCACUUCGUUCGGGAAAAAGUAUCCUCGGGAUCUUUACAAGUCAAAUACAUUCCAAGUCCUUACCAAUUAGCUGAUGUCUUCACCAAACCACUGACAAGAAGCUCACACUCUUAUAUGCGAACCAAAUUGGGAAUCUGUACUCUAUCCAUUCCCAAUUUGAGGGGGGAUGUUAGAGGAAUUAAACAGAUAUUAAAAGAACAGUUGAAUACAGAAAUUGGUGAUAGUAGAAGAGCUAAACCUAAUGAAGUAACUAAGGCAGAGGAGGCUGGAACAGAGGAAGCUGGAGCAAAGGAAGGUCGUGAGCUGGCGAUCCAGGUGAAUUGAUGAGCUGGCGAUCCAUGACAGCAAAACAUAAAACAUAGAAGUUGAUCAAGCAAAUUAAAGGAGCUGCACAGAUAGAAGAACUACUCAUAUGCUUCUAUAUUGGUUAUUCUGUUGUAACAAGUCUGUAACAGAAAUAGCUAAACUAGUAUAAAAGGAUAAGAGAAUGAGAGAAGGGUGUGCGAGAGUGUUACCUUCAUCUUUUCCAUCUCUGGUUGUUCUUGAUUCAUCUUGAGCUUUUUCUUUCACCUCUGUAUUCCGAGAAUGGUGAAGUCCUGUAAAGCAUGAACUAGAAGUUCUGAAGAAGAAAUACAUUUGAGUGAGGUAUUUUUCAUUGAUUGUUCAAGAUCUAAAUCUCUUUCAUAUACAGAUCUUGUUCUAUAUUCGAUUUCUUCUCAAAUAGAGAAGGGAAAGUUAUACAUGGAUGAAAGAGGUGUGAAGAAUCGAACUUGAUAUCUAUCUCUUGCCCUGAUAUCAUGUUGAAGUUAUGCAGAAAACUGUUUUCUUUCCCCUUUAAAGUAAAAAAGAAACACGGUAUAUAUUUUUCGAAAUUGUCGAAGUCCUGGGUGAAGGAAUAGAGUGUAAAUCAUGAUGACCUGAAUAGAAGAGGGACUGCCUCUCGGUCUGGCUCUCCAAACGAGAAAUCAAACAGGAGAGUGUCCUUCCAAGUUGCUGCUUUGGACAAAAACAAGUCUCCAUUGCUGUAGUACCUAAAUUUCCUAGCGUCGUCCCUGGAGUACCACUCUCCCUUCACUCCCUCAGGCUGCUCGUGGAACUGCUUGACAGCUUCCAACACGCUGUCCAUCACAUCGACCGGGAUCCCGUGGUUAAUUAUCUGGAAGAACCCCCACGUCUCCGACGCUCUACGGAGGUCGUCGACCACGUCUCGCCGCAGCCGGGAAUCCUGACAGCCCAUCAUGUCGAUGAUGGGGACCUUAAGGUCAGUGGCGGACCCCUCUGUGUCAGAGGACACGUCGCGCAGGUUCUGGGGAGGGUGGAUGAAGAGCCUAGGGACCUUGGCCACGCCGGAGUCGAUGAGGCCUUUGACGCCGGCUUUGGUCUCGUCGAAUUCCUUUGCUUCUUUUGCUCCGUCAUAGUGCGGGCCACUACAGGUGAUGGAUUCUUCAGGACUGGGCAAGAUUUGCAUCUUUGUAAGGAGAAGCUUUGAAGCCUAUUAAUCCUAAUUGGGAGAUAUGUCUAUCGCAUGUUAGAUAUUAAUAGACAUAUAUUAGAUAGUAAAAUAUCUAAAUCAAAUCAAGAUAAGAUAAUUACCUAAUUUUUCACAAGUAAUAUUGCAAAAUUUGAACUCGACAAGAACAAAAUUUGAAGCUCGGCACGGUGGUGCUCCUCAGUAAAGGAUGAUCGUGGGCUCACGGUGAACGAACCUGCAAAAAUAAGAACUUCGUAGAAUCGACUCGGUUUGGAUACGAACAAGAACGGCGGCUAGUGUCGGAAGGUGGGGGGGUUCACAAUUGAGGUGCAGGAGCGAGUCGUUGAGAUCGUCUAAAAAUUUCGGCAAGGCUGGGUUCGUCAGUACAUGUGCGUAACAGCAAGGUAGCUUGCUGGUUCGCUACUGGGUUGAGUGUUCCUUCAAUGGACAGUUAACACCAAUGACACCAAGGCCUUGUAGGCAUGGACACGAGGCAAGUCACGGGCUGCUCUCCAGAUGGUGGACUUAUCCCUUCAAGGCCUCACCUCUAUUA